AGCACCAUCUUCUUGCCCCCUUCCCCAACAACAUAAGCCAUUUGAACAGCUUCCCAAAUCUACUCCUUCAGGUCCUUGGGUAAUUGAGUCCAUUUCUUUUCCACAAGAGGGACUCUGGUGCAUGCCAAAACACCAAUGUAACUCUGCAACUCAAUAGCAGCCUUGCCAUGUGGUCUGCCACUUUUAUUGUACUCAACCACAAGCUUAAUCUUCUAGAUUUUCCUUUGCACAACACUGCUCAUUGUGUUGAUACCGGGAGUCGAUUUCGUCACUUCAUCAAAUGUCGUAGAGCUUGGGUCUUUCUCGGAAGAUGAAGUAAAUCUCAUAUUCUUUGCGGGAUUGCUUCGAACAGAUUUGGACUACAAUGUCCUUGCCUUGAAAUUUUGAUACUUGAGCCUCCUUACUUUGAGAUUUCGAAACCAUGUUUAGAAGGAAAUACAAACUGCAAGGAAAACAACGACGAUUAGGUAAAAUACAGACGUAAAAUGAAAGUUCAAACGAUGGCAAAAAAAAAAAAAAACCGUCGUGCUAAUCAUAGAAGCAUGGAUGUGCUAAUACGACGUGGUCAUUAACUUACCACGACGGUAAUUCAAUAAAACCGUCGUCGUAUUAUAAGUUCAUAAAUAAAAUAAAAACCACCCAGUUUUCUCUCUCCACGUUAUCAGACGACGGUUUUCUCUUCA
rnacentral:lncRNA from 1 species